rnacentral:tRNA from 1 species
GCCGGGAUGGCGAAAUUGGCAGACGCAGCGGACUUAAAAUCCGCAGGGGCCAAAAGCCCUGUGGGGGUUCGAUUCCCCCUCCCGGCACCA